AGAGGAAGUGGUGGCUAUGAGUCAGCAUGAGUCAUCUCGUUCCAAUGAGAAUGAAGGCUGAGGUGUGCGCCUUUUUUUUUUUUCCUUCUUAGUCGUGUGUACAUCAUUGGGAAUGGAGGGAAAUAAAUGACUGGAUGGUCGCUGCUUUUUAAGUUUCAAAUUGACAUUCCAGACAAGCGGUGCCUGAGCCCGUGCCUGUCUUCAGAUCUUCACAGCACAGUUCCUGGGAAGGUGGAGCCACCAGCCUCUCCCUGACAAGCAAAGUGGAUCAGCAAAGGCUGCAGUCACCAGCAUCUUUUCCAACCUUAAUGAACUGUAUCCUCAAAAGAACACUAUCAGACUGGCUCUGCCGACUUCCAGUUCUGGAACAAGAUGGUUAAACUCAUUUUUCCCUGCUCUGCUCCUCUAAAUACAACUAAGUACCUUGGAAACUAUUCAGCAGACAAUGAUAAAGGGCUCUGAAAGCUAGAAGAAAAGGUGUACUUGCAAGAAACCUCAGGACUUGAGUAACAGCAACAUGCAAGACAUGUUUUUAAAAUCCUCUGAGAGAGAAAGAGGGUUGCCAGAAAAGGAAUGAAGAGUGGGAGAAAGGUGCAUUGUGGAGCUGUCUGAGCGUUGGAGUAUGUCCCAAUAACGAAGAGACUGUGGAGAAGCAUCCCCUGUCCCGCUCCGUGUUCUAAAUGUAUGAAACCUAACAAGGGAGGAGAGACCACAAAGCCAGCAGCAAACAGUAAACUUUUCCAAGAAUCAGAGAGGAAGGAGUUCCUGACACCCUGCAGCAAAAACAACCUCAAAAUUCCCCUGAAGACAGACCCAUGGGAGCUGGGGUCAAGGUGGCCUUGCGCUUCACCGAGGAGGUGUCAUUACCAAACGUGCUGGACAUUGGCUACCUACGGAAGAAAGAUUAAGGACUGAAAGAAAAUAGUGGAGAACAUGCUUAUGACAUGGGGGUAGGACAGGGAAGGCCUUGAGCAAGACACAAAUCA
ensembl:lncRNA MIR4435-2HG MIR4435-2 host gene